AUGACAUCACAUACAGUGACAUCAAAAUAUCUCGUCAGCAGCCAAUCAGACGGAGUGGAGAUUGUUAUUCAGUUGUAGUUUACUCAGCAGUGAAAACAGCAGAAGACGUCAGUGAUGGACAAAGAGUCAUCAAAUCAAACAGGACCAGAGUGUCUCCAUUAGAGCCAGA